GACGGAGGGGGCUAGCGUUGUUCGGAAUUACUGGGCGUAAAGCGCGUGUAGGCGGUUGUUCAAGUCAGGUGUGAAAGCCUUGAGCUCAACUCAAGAAAUGCACUUGAUACUGGAUGACUAGGGGACCGGAGAGGAUAGUGGAAUUCCCAGUGUAGUGGUGAAAUACGUAGAGAUUGGGAAGAACACCAGUGGCGAAGGCGGCUAUCUGGACGGUUUCUGACGCUAAGACGCGAAAGCGUGGGGAGCAAACAGG
rnacentral:rRNA from 1 species